UGCAGUAAUUUGACUGUACGAAGGUAGCAUAAUCAAUAGUCUUUUAAUUGAAGGCUGGAAUGAAUGGUUGAACGAAAAAUGAGCUGUCUUAAAAAUAAAUAUUGAAUUUUACUUUUAAGUGAAAAGGCUUAAAUAAUUUAGAGGGACGAUAAGACCCUAUAAAAUUUAAUAUUAAUUAAUUUAUUUUUAGAAUUUAAUAUAAAGAAAAGUAUUUUAAUUUUAUUUAGCUGGGGUGGCUAGGAUAUAAAUUGUAACUGUUCGAAAAUUAAAAUAUAUUUAAAUAGAUAAAAAAUGAUCCUUUAUAAAGAUUAUAAGAAAAAGUUACUUUAGGGAUAACAGCGUUAUUUUUUUUGAGAGUUCUUAUUGAUAAAAGUAGUUGCGACCUCGAUGUUGAAUUAAGAAGACUUUAAAAUGCAGAAGU
rnacentral:rRNA from 1 species